UUUUUUUUUUUUUUUCUUUCUACACGUGAUUCAACCUGUUCUUUCUUCUUUGAUUUAGGGAUUCCAGAAAGCAAGUUUGUUUACAUUUGGUUUCUUUUAUCCAAUUCUUAUUCAGUUUGGAAAGAUAUAAUAGUAUAUUUUUUUGAAAUCCUUGCUUUCAUGGUUAUCUGAUUGUUCAAAUGGAUUUUUUUUUCUCAUAUUUUAUGGAUCCUUGGUUAUGUUUGUAGCGGCACUCAUUUUUGCUGUAAAGAAAACAAAGGUUUUUUAUUUUCAUUUUUUCGGUUUUAAAUAUUCCUUUGUAUAAAUGAUUGGAGAUUUAUGGCAUGGCGCUCAGAUUUGAGGAGGAAUACGGGCCAGUAGAGAUUUCCUAUCGAAGGUAACUAAACAUUUGUGUUAAGUUAUACCUGCCAUUGCCACCUUUGUCUGUUCUACUUUUCAUCAUAUCGCGAAAUCAUAGCGACGAAAUCAUCAGGAAACAGGUCUGCAUAAAAGCCCGGAAUAUUUUCUUCAAAAAUUGGAUCUUGUUUUCGUCGACGACCCUUUUCGGUGUAUGUAAUGAUUGCCGAUCUUUGUGGCUGUUUUUGGAUUAUUUAUUGUUAUUUUCAGGAAUUUACCAAAAUGUGAAUUUUUUUUAUGACUGUCCUGCUUAUAUAGAAGAAUGCAUGAUCGAAAAAAGACCGUUUGAUGGCCUUUUUGUUUUUUAACAGGUUUAUCUUUUUUUUUAAGUCAAUUUAUUAAUGUAAUUUCACUCUUACUUCAAUUGUUUAAACACUAUCCAUUAUGUUGUCUUUUGUUUCCUUCAUUGCUAUUUAACAGGAGGUUCUUCAUGAAGGAACUAUGAAGCAAGACUAUACAGAGGUUUCUACAUGGAUUUGUGUUUGUUGUAGUUGAAUGGUAAUUAUUUUCCUUGUAAAUCUUUAAGAGCUGCAAUAAAUAGAAAUUUAUAUCUUCGCUUGCUAUUAACAGUAGUUUUACUGUCAGUGCUUAGGAUGUGGAAGGUUCACCUCUCCACUUCUCAUUAUCCCGAGGUAUUUUACUUUUUAAUUUUUUCUUUUCUUCCCCAUUUUGUACUGGUUUUGUAGAUAAGAAUGGAGCAGCCGGAUUUUGUAUUCGAAGUUGUUUUCCCAUUUCCUUGCGGAUUCAGAGUAACUUCUUAACAAUUUGCGAUUGCCCUAUUUUGACCAGGAUGCUGCUCAUGUUCACCACUUCAAAGCAUAGAUGCCCUGAGGGUCAAGAAUUUGUGUGUUGCCUUCAGAAACUUCUGUGAAGAGAAGAACUUCGACGUGUGAGUUCAACCUUAUUUUAAUUAGAAAUUAUCAAUCUCAUAGAUGAAGUUGUCUAUUUGGACAUGAUAUUGCCUGGUUUAGUGCUACUGCCAAAUUAUGUUCUAAAGUUAGCUAUGUUAGUAGUUGUGCCUAAUGAAUUAUCUGUGUGCUACUAAUAUGAACUGUUCUUUUUUGUGUAACUAAAAGGCCCAAUUUCCUGAACAGUGCCUCGGUAGAAGCAAACCCAAAUAAUACACAGGCCCUCGGUCACCGAGCCGACCUCGUCCGACACCAUUUACGAGAAGGUGAGGUCGUCUCAAUCAUAUACUGUUUCAGCAAGGUCAAUUUCGGCGAGCAAGAGGUGUGUAUCUUCAGUUGGAGAGAGCGGAAGUACCCCAAUGGCUAAAGGCCAAAUCAGGCCUCAAAGUCGGGAUACUGGAAAGCCACUGGUAUAGGAUAUCACCAGGUUUUUGUAAUAGUUUUGUUUAUUACAGGAUAUCAGAAAAAACCGAGGGAGUUUGGGUAUUUAAGAAUUUUUCUUGCUCAUUGAGUAAUUUUGAUUUUAUUUUUGUUUGUUUAGCGCAUAGUCUUGCUCGUUGGCAUAUGGUUCUAAAUAAGUACAUUUCUUUA